AUGAUUGGUAGGCUGAAAUAUUACUCCCAUGGUGAAAGAGUCUGGGUAGAAGAAAGUUACUUACAUUAUGGUGUUCAGGAAGAGGAGAGAGAAGGUAAGAUCCCAGGAGAGAGAUACACCCUUUCUAAGGAUGACUACUAUGACCCACCUCUAGCGAAGCAUCGUCAUUUAACAGCAAAGCAACGAAGCUAUGACCAAAGUGAUAGUCCUGGCACAAUCAAAAUAUUUGGAGAAGGAACUAAGCUCAUUGUAGUCCCUUCAGGUGAAGUGUUUGAUGCAGACAUUUCCCCCAAGCCCUCUAUGCUUCUGCCUUCAGUGAGUGAAACAAAGACUGAUGAGGCUGGGACCUAUCUUUGUCUCCUGGAGAAGUUUUUUCCAGAAGAUAUUAAGGUGUAUUGGAAAGAAAAGGAUCAUGAUGGCCUUCUGCAGUCCCAGCAGGGAGACACAGUGAAGAUUAACAGCACCUACAUGAAACUUAGCUGGGUGACUGUGGCUGGAGAAGCAAUGACCAAAGAGCACACACUGAUUGUCAAACACGAGAAUAAUAAAGGGGGAGUUGAUCAGGAGAUUGUCUUCCCUCCAAUAAAGAAAGUUACUUCAGACCUAGAAGCUUGCUUGAAAAUUGCAAAUGGUUUGCUGAGCCUGCAGCUCACCAACACUUCUGCCUACUACACCUACCUCCUGCUGCUGCUCAAGAGCGCCCUCCAUGGAACCUUCAUCACCUUUUGUCUGUGCAGACCAUCAGCUGUUUACAGGGACAGGAAGAGUACCUGACAGAGGAAGCAUGCAGGGCCAUGGAGUCUCCACUGCUUCCUGUCUCUCUAAAGAUAAUAACACUUUGCUAGCCCCAGCUCCUAAAGGCCGCGUGCGUAUUAUUCUACCAUUGUCGUAUAAGGCUUUCCCAACUUCACUGUGUUGUAGCAAGGUUUAGUCCACAGCUACCCCAAUCCCAUUUGUCCUCAGUUCCCAUAAUGCCUGCAGCUGGCCCAGGUCCUCCCAACUUUCAGGUGCACAACUCUCCACUUCCAAUCAGGAGCCAAGUACCCUUGAACCAGGUCACCUCCACAUGUCUCCCUCUACCCCAUGACACAGCCUUCUCGGCUAUUGAAUUCCAUGCUUUGUUUUGAGUG